rnacentral:rRNA from 1 species
UACGUAGGGGACGAGCGUUGUCCGGAAUUACUGGGCGUAAAGGGCGCGCAGGUUGUAGAUCAAGUCAGCUGUGAAAUGUCUGGGCUUAACCCGGGCAUGCGGUUGAAACUGAUGUACUGGAGUGCUGUAGAGGCAAGUGGAAUUCCCAGUGUAGCGGUGAAAUGCGUAGAUAUUGGGAAGAACACCGGUGGCGAAGGCGACUUGCUGGGCAGCAACUGACGCUGAGGCGCGAAAGCCAGGGGAGCAAACGGGAUUAGAUACCCCCGUA